UGUGGAGCUCUAAGGCGUAGGAGCCUCGGGGAGGGUGAGCCAAGAGGGACGUGGCGCUCUGCGGCGCGGACUAGGAAGCCGCGCCCCUUCCUUCUCGGGCUUUCAUGGAGAAUCCUGUGGAGCAGGAUUUGGGGUCCCACAGGGAUAUAACCUGGCCAAGUUCCUCACUGCGUUUAGAAUGGAAGAGAGGGAGGCAGUAAUACUUAUAAGAGAAGGAGCCUGCAUAAAGAAAUGAAGGUUUAAGGAAACAGAGCUGAGUAUUUUAUGCUAGGUUUGAUGGAGCAAGGACCGUCAUGGAGGGAUGUGAUAGAUUAAGGAGUAUGAGCACCAAGAGUGAGCUGCUUCACCUUUUCAGGUCCCCACUUACUGAAACAUUCAGUGGUAAAGAAAACAGCAACUGUUUUUUGAUGCUCUUACGAAAUCAAGCUUCUUCUGUAUCAGUGAAGCACUGGGACUGGAUACCAACUAGUCUAAUCUCUCAUUUUACAGAGGAUUAAACUGAGGCUUGAUACUUGAUAAAGUGGCUUACCAAGGUCAGACAUCUAGCUAAGAUCAAAGACAAGACUGUGUGAUGAAGAACUGUGUUUUGUUCUUUGCUAGACCUCAAGCCAUUGUGUGCCUACUGGUUAUUAUGUAGCAGACAAGAAUAUGCUUAGAUUAAAACAGUUUUCUUCUUUUAUCUAGACAGUUUCCUUCGAAGGAAAUAAAGUCCUUGCAUUCAUUGUGGUGUACUUUGAAGGAUUACAGCUUUUAUCUUAUGUUGUUGAUUGUAAUAAUUAAAACUUUGAAUAGCUUUAAACAUUAUUUGUGG
ensembl:lncRNA